UUUGAUGGCGACCGGCGCACGGGUGAGUAACACGUAUCCAACCUGCCGAUGACUCGGGGAUAGCCUUUCGAAAGAAAGAUUAAUACCCGAUGGCAUAGUUCUUCCGCAUGGUGGAACUAUUAAAGAAUUUCGGUCAUCGAUGGGGAUGCGUUCCAUUAGGUUGUUGGCGGGGUAACGGCCCACCAAGCCUUCGAUGGAUAGGGGUUCUGAGAGGAAGGACCCCCACAUUGGAACUGAGACACGGUCCAAACUCCUACGGGAGGCAGCAUG
rnacentral:rRNA from 1 species